rnacentral:rRNA from 1 species
UACGGAGGGGGCUAGCGUUGUUCGGAAUUACUGGGCGUAAAGGGCGCGUAGGUGGCCUGUUAAGUCGAACGUGAAAUCCCCGGGCUUAACCUGGGAACUGCGUCUGAUACUGGGAGGCUUGAGUAUGGGAGAGGGAUGUAGAAUUCCAGGUGUAGCGGUGAAAUGCGUAGAUAUCUGGAGGAAUACCGGUGGCGAAGGCGGCAUCCUGGACCAUAACUGACGCUGAGGCGCGAAAGCUAGGGGAGCAAACGGG